AGGAUUGCAGGUGACUCGUUUAGAAAAGAAGCCAAAUGAUACUGACAAAAUGCUUGCCAAUUUGGCAGAUUUUUGACAAAUUGACAUACGGAUGACAUAUUGACAAGGUUGGUACUUCUGUCAACAGGAGUGCGGGUAACCCGUUACGAGAGGAAACCAAAUGAUACUGACAAGUUGCUUGCCAAUUCGACGGAUUUUUGACAAAUUUUCAUUCGGAUGACGAAUUGACAAAGGCGAUAAGAAGGCUGCAAGAGUUUUUUUCCUGAUAUGCCGAACAAGCUAAUGGUUGGUUUCUUUUUUACCUCAACAGGAUUGCGGGUGACUCGUUUAGAAAGGAAACCAAAUGAUACUGACAAGUUGCUUGCCAAUUCGACGGAUUUUUGACAAAUUUUCAUUCGGAUGACGAAUUGACAAAGGGGAUAAGAAGUUGGUUCUCUUGUCAACAGGAUUGCGGGCGAAUCGUCUAGACAAGAAGCUAAAUGAUACUGACAAGUUGCUUGCCAAUUUGAAGGAUUUCUGACAAAUUGACAUACGGAUGACAAAUUGACAAAGGGGAUAAGAGAUUGGUUCUUUUGUCAACAGGAUUGCGGGUGAAUCCUUUAGACAGGAAGCCAAAUAAUACUGACAAGUUGCUUGCCAGUUUGACAGAUUUUUGACAAAUUGACAUACGGAUGACAAAUUGACAAG